CAGACGGAUUAAAACAUGUGGAAGACGGAUCAAUAUAGGUUUGAAAAAAAAAAAUAAAGUAGUGUAGUUUUCCGAGUUCUGUAUAUAAACGGACGUAUCUGAUCGUUUCGUUGUAAAAAUAUAUAAUGUCUACCCUGGAAAUUAGUGAUUAGCUUAAAGACCUAGGUAACCUACUAGGUAUUAUUGUGAACUGCGUCUCGAGUAAAAA